rnacentral:rRNA from 1 species
UACGGGGGGUGCGAGCGUUGUCCGGAAUCACUGGGCGUAAAGGGCGCGUAGGUGGUUUGAUAAGGGUGUGGUGAAAGUCCGGGGCUCAACCCCGGAUCUGCCGUGCCGACUGUCAAACUCGAGGACUGUAGAGGCAGACGGAAUUCCGGGUGUAGCGGUGGAAUGCGUAGAGAUCCGGAGGAAGACCGGUGGCGAAGGACGGU